rnacentral:lncRNA from 10 species
GGAAGACUUAAGAUGGCGGCGUUUGCACGGAGUGCAAUCACUGCGUCCUUACGGGGGUUGCAAGGCGUCCGAAGUAUGAGUCCACUAACAAAAGUCCAGAAACUCGCCAGUUAAUAGUAUUGUGUCUCUUCAAAAUAUCGGAGAAUAAUUUCUUUCUCGCUGAUCGCCUAACUUCUACUGACGAAGCUUGGAAGUUGCAGAAGGUGUUGGAGUGCAAUGGCGCGAUCUCGGCUGACUGCAACCUCCACCUCCUGGAUUCAAGCUAUUCUCCUGCCUCAGCCUGCCGAGUAGCUGGGAUUACAGGCAUGUGCCACCGCACCCAGCUAAUUUUGUAUUUUUUAGUAGAGAUGGGGUUUCUCCAUGUUGGUCAGGCUGGUCUUGAACUCCUGACCUCAGGUGAUCCGCCCACCUCAGCCUCCCAAAGUGCUGGGAUUACAGGCGUGAGCCACCGCGCCCGGCCAGAACAUUAGUUUUAAACUUCCUAACCCUUGGGAGAAGGCAAAACACUUGAUGAAAUCUACAUAAAGACUAAAACAUUUUACCAAUUUUGCAUUGUUUGUUUGAAAUUGCAUUGACGACUGGUACAUGAUGUAUUGAGUAAAAGGAACUUCGGUACACAGGCCUUUAGUGAUGUGGUGGUAAGAUGUAUGGUAUGGAGUUCGCUCUUGUUGCCCAGGCUGGAAUGCAAUGGCAUGACCUUGGCUCACUGCAACCUCUGCCUCCCCAGUUCAAGUGGUUCUCCUGCCUCAGCCUCCCGAGUAGCUGAGAUUACAGGUAUGCGCUACCACGCCCGGCUAAUUUUGUAUUUUUAGUAGAGACGGGGUUUCUCCAUGUUGGUCAGACUGGUCUUGUAGGAGAAAUAGACUUCACUAAAAUAUUACAGGUACUGGCUCCUGUAUCACCCAGCUCUGGAGUUGAAAGAGCUCUUCAUUCCUGAGUCUCCUGUACCACUGAGAAUAGGUGCUGGAGUGCAGUGGCGCAAUCUCGGCUCUCUGCAACCUUCACCUCCCGUGUUCAAGUGAUUCUCCUGCCUCAGCCUCCUGAAUACCUGAGAUUACAAGCAUGCACCACCACGCCCGUCUAAUUUUGUAUUUUCACUAGAGACGGGGUUUCUCCAUGUUGGUCAGGCUGGUCUCGAACUCCCGACCUCAGGUGAUCCGCCCGCCUCAGCCUCCCAAAGUGCUGGGAUUACAGGCAUGAGCCACCGCGUCCAGCAAGAAUAGGUGAUUUUCAAACUUGGAAACAUUCAGAAGUUAUCGCCUCAGUUUCAGAUUGAGUAGUCUCAAAGAGAUUACAGACAUCUACCACAAAUUCUCUACUUGGUGUGGUGCAAAAUCAGUAUGAUGUAAACUUUGUCUCUCAGUUUCUUCAAAGGAAAGAAGCAACUGGAACACACAUAUAACACUAACCCUUCCAGCUGCAUUAUGAGGGACCAGUACCUGUCUCAAGGCAAAAUUAUGACUUAGUUCAUCCUCACCUCUGGAGGCCAGUAAAAGUGGGUUAUAGAAGAACAAAGAGGCAUCUAGAUCUUUCACUGGGUUAUUUGGAGAGAAACAUCUCCUACCGAAGGCCAGUUUAACAAGACUGGUAGAGGAGGUUAUCUUAUCUAAUUCACAGAAAUCAACACAUUGAGUCAAGAAAAAUGAAACACAGAAACACUCUAAAUAAAAGAAGAUAAGUCUUCAGAAACCAACCCUAAUGAAAUGAAGAUAUGUGAUUAACCUGACAGGAAAUUAAAAAGAGCAACCAUAAAGAGUCUCAUGGGAGCAAUGCAUGAACAAACUGAGAAUUUUCAUAAAGAAAUAAAAGAUAACAAAAAGUAUAAAGUUGAAGAAUACAAUAACUGGACUCAAAAAUUUAAUGUGUCCAACAGAAGAAUCGAUGAAGCAGAAGAAAGGGCUAUCAAACUUGUAGAUAGGCCAUUGGAAAUCAUGUAAUGUGAGGAGAAAAAAGAAAAAAGAUUGAAGAUAGUUUAAGAGACUUUUGAGACAUCCUCAAAGGGGAAUAAUUUAUACAUUACCAGAUGGAGAAGAUAGAGGGAAAAGGACAGAAAACAUAUUUGAAGAAAUAAUGUCAGAAAACCUCAUAAUUCUGGCAAGGAAAUAGAAAUUUAGAUCUAAGAAUCUCGAACAUCAGGUAUGAUGAAUCCAAGGAGACUCACACCAAACCAUAUUGUAAUUAAAUAAAGGUUAAAGACAAUCUUCAGAGCAGCAAGGGAAUAGUCUCUUCUUACAUACAAAAUGAUCCACGGAAGACUGUCAGCAGACUUCACCAGAAAACUUUCACGCCAGAAGGCAGUCGUGAUAUAUACAAAAAGCUGAAAGGAAAACACUGCCAUCCAGGAAUACUAUCUCCAACUAUCCUGUGUUUCAAAAAUUAAGGAGAAAUAUAAAGUUCUCAAACAAAAGAUGUGGGAGUUUACCACCACUAGACCUGCACGGGAAGAAUUGCUAAAGGGAGUCCUUCAAGCUGUAGUAAAAGAGUGCUAAUUAGAAACAUGAAAACGUAAAUACAAAAAAAAUUCUAAAACUUGUAUGGAACUACAAAAGACAUUAAAUAAUCAAAGUAAUCUUGAGCAACAAGGACACAGCUGGAGGCAUCACUCUACCUGAUUUUGUAAUCCAUUAUCAAAAAACUGUGGUACCAGCAUAAAAACAGAUUCACUGACCAGUGGAACAGGAAAGCCCAGACAUAACUCAUACAUUUCCAUCCAAUUGAUUUUUGACAAAAGUGGCACACAGAAUGGGGAGAGGACAAAUAAAUAAAUAAAUUGUUUUGAGAUAUCUGUAUAUCUAUAUGUGAAAUUGAACCAUUUUCUCAUAGCAUAUAGAAAAAUCAACUCAAAAUGGAUUAAAGCCUGAAAUGUUGCCUUUGAAACUGUAAAACUACUAGUAGAAAAUAUAGGGGAAAAGCUCUAUGAUGUUGUUCUGGGCAAUGAUUUCUUGGAUACAUCCUUAAAAGCAUGGGCAGCAAAAACAGCCAGACAACUAUCAGGGAACCUGCCCAGAUAGUCACAUAGGUUCUUUUCUAUUUUCCCUAAGCAUUGGCCGGGUUGAGAAAUAAAGGGACAGAGUACAAAAGAGAGAAAUUUUAAAGCUGGGCAUCCUGGGGAGACAUCACAUGUCGGUAGGUUCCGUGAUGCCCCCUGAGCCGUAAAACCAGUAAGUUUUUAUUAGGGAUUUUCAAAGGGGAGGGAGUAUACGAAUAGGAGGUGGGUCACAGAGAUCACGUGCUUCACAAGGUAAUAGAAUAUCACAAGGCAAAUGGAGGCAGGGCGAGAUCACAGGACCACAGGACUGGGUUGAAAUUAAAAUUGCUAAUGAAGUUUCGGGCACCAUCGUCAUUGAUAACAUCUUAUCAGGAGACAGGGUUUGAGAGCAACCUGUCUGACCAAAAUUUAUUAGGUGGGAAUUUCCUCGUCCUAAUAAGCCUGGGAGCGCUAUGGGAGACUGGGGCUUAUUUCAUCCCUACAGUCUCGACCAUAGAAGAC